AUACGGAGGAUGCAAGCGUUAUCCGGAUUUAUAGGGUUUAAAGGGUGCGCAGGCGGAAAAUUAAGUCAGUGGUGAAAUCCUACAGCUUAACUGUAGAAUUGCCAUUGAUACUGAUUUUCUUGAGUGCAGUUGAGGUAGGCGGAAUGUGUAAUGUAGCGGUGAAAUGCUUAGAUAUUACACAGAACACCGAUUGCGUAGGCAGCUUACUAAACUGUUACUGACGCUCAGGCACGAAAGCGUGGGGAGCGAACAGGAUUAGAAACCCCAGUAGUCC
rnacentral:rRNA from 1 species